rfam:Myotis brandtii contig304378, whole genome shotgun sequence.
GGUCGUUCUUGGGUAAUGCGCCCCAGAAUUGGGCCUCCUCCUCUCUGGUUCUGGGGUGCGUCACCUGAGAACUGCU